rnacentral:rRNA from 1 species
UACGUAGGGGGCAAGCGUUGUCCGGAAUCAUUGGGCGUAAAGAGCGUGUAGGCGGCCCGGUAAGUCUGCUGUGAAAGUCCAGGGCUCAACCCUGGGAUGCCGGUGGAUACUGUCGGGCUCGAGUCCGGAAGAGGAGUGUGGAAUUCCUGGUGUAGCGGUGAAAUGCGCAGAUAUCAGGAGGAACACCAAUGGCGAAGGCAGCACUCUGGGACGUGACCGACGCUGAGACGCGAAAGCGUGGGGAGCAAACAGG